GUAAGGAAUAUUGGACAAUGGGCGGAAGCCUGAUCCAGCCAUGCCGCGUGAAGGAAGAAUGCGCUCAGCGUUGUAAACUUCUUUUGAAUGGGAACAAUAAUCCCGACGUGUCGGGACUUGAGGGUACCAUUAGAAUAAGCACCGGCUAACUCCGUGCCAGCAGCCGCGGUAAUACGGAGGGUGCAAGCGUUAUCCGGAAUCACUGGGUUUAAAGGGUGCGUAGGCGGUUUGAUAAGUCAGUUGUGAAAUUCACCGGCUUAACCGGUAGAACUGCGAUUGAUACUGUCAGACUUGAAUCAGGUUGAGGUAGGCGGAAUGUGGCAUGUAGCGGUGAAAUGCAUAGAUAUGCCAUAGAACACCGAUUGCGAAGGCAGCUUGCUGGACCUAGAUUGACGCUGAGGCACGAAAGCGUGGGGAGCAAACAGGAUUAGAAACCCCGGUAGUCC
rnacentral:rRNA from 1 species